UCGAGAAUCUUUCACAAUGGGGGCAACCCUGAUGGAGUGACGCCGCGUGGAGGAUAAGGUUUUCGGAUUUUAAACUCCUGUCAUGCAUGAACAAUGUUUGCAGCUUAACGGCGCGCAUUUUUGAUGGUAGUGCAAAAGGAAGAGGCGGCAAACUCUGUGCCAGCAGCCGCGGUAAUACAGAGGCCUCAAGCGUUGUUCGGAAUUAUUGGGCGUAAAGGGCGCGUAGGCUGCCGGUUAAGUUUUGUGUGAAAUAUCGGAGCUCAACUCCGCUGCUGCACAAAAUACUGGCUGGCUUGAGUUCCAAAGAGGAGACUAGAAUUCACGGAGUAGCAGUGAAAUGCGUAGAGAUCGUGAGGAAUACCAAUUGCGAAGGCAGGUCUCUGGUGGGUUACUGACGCUG
rnacentral:rRNA from 1 species